rnacentral:rRNA from 1 species
GACGAACGCUGGCGGCGUGCCUAAUACAUGCAAGUAGAACGCUGAAGAGAGGAGCUUGCUCUUCUUGGAUGAGUUGCGAACGGGUGAGUAACGCGUAGGUAACCUGCCUUGUAGCGGGGGAUAACUAUUGGAAACGAUAGCUAAUACCGCAUAACAAUAGGUGACACAUGUCAUUUAUUUGAAAGGGGCAAUUGCUCCACUACAAGAUGGACCUGCGUUGUAUUAGCUAGUAGGUGAGGUAACGGCUCACCUAGGCGACGAUACAUAGCCGACCUGAGAGGGUGAUCGGCCACACUGGGACUGAGACACGGCCCAGACUCCUACGGGAGGCAGCAGUAGGGAAUCUUCGGCAAUGGGGGCAACCCUGACCGAGCAACGCCGCGUGAGUGAAGAAGGUUUUCGGAUCGUAAAGCUCUGUUGUAAGUCAAGAACGAGUGUGAGAGCGGAAAGUUCACACUGUGACGGUAGCUUACCAGAAAGGGACGGCUAACUACGUG